rnacentral:lncRNA from 1 species
UGAUGAAGGCUUUUUGACUCUCUCAGAGGGCUAGUCCUAAAGCUGAUUUGAUUCAGAAGAAACUACAGCUCAAAGGAAUGUGUAUGUGUUGGCAUUUCCUUGUCGUGGAAAGUCCCAGCCAGUGAUCAAUUAAAAUUGAAUUGAACAGUUCUGAUAUGUGCUCUGGCCAUGAUGUGCUGCCCCACUACCGGUCUAAAACCAAUGAGACCAAACAACAAGGGACUGAAGCCUCCAAAACUGCUGGAAGUACUGAGGAACUCCUGAGUGCCCAUGCCAGCAAUCUGCAACUUUGACUUCCCCUCCCCAGGUGGAACAAGCCCCAGCUGCUGUGCAUCUGCUCCCAGUGCUCUCAGUGGGGCCCAGAAACCAUGGAGCCAAGUGACCAUGAACUAAACCUCUGGAACUGAAAGCCAAAACCUACGAACAAAGGAUAUCAUGUAACUUAAAGAAGAUUUCCAAAGCAUUUCAUUUUGGCCUUUUCAAGAGGCUGAAACAUGGGACCUUCUACUUCAACUAUCAUCUCAGCUUCACUUUUCCUGAUCUAUAAAGAACAAGGAUGGGGAAUGAGCACAAAAGAGGCCAGACUUAACUGGAAUGAAGUGUUCAUGUUGAGGGACUAUUUCUGGAUUCUAUAUAUUUCCAUACUCUUCCAACUUCAUUCAGGCAGGACCUCCAUUAGCCCUUUUCUCCAAGUAACCAGUGAGGA